GGGUUGUGAGGUUAAGCGACUAAGCGUACACGGUGGAUGCCCUGGCAGUCAGAGGCGAUGAAGGACGUGCUAAUCUGCGAAAAGCGUCGGUAAGGUGAUAUGAACCGUUAUAACCGGCGAUGUCCGAAUGGGGAAACCCAGUGCAAUUCGUUGCACUAUCGUUAACUGAAUACAUAGGUUAACGAGGCGAACCGGGGGAACUGAAACAUCUAAGUACCCCGAGGAAAAGAAAUCAACCGAGAUUCCCCCAGUAGCGGCGAGCGAACGGGGAGCAGCCCAGAGUCUGAAUCAGCUUGUGUGUUAGUGGAACGGUCUGGAAAGUCCGACGGUACAGGGUGAUAGUCCCGUACACCAAAAUGCACAGGCUGUGAACUCGAAGAGUAGGGCGGGACACGUGGUAUCCUGUCUGAAUAUGGGGGGACCAUCCUCCAAGGCUAAAUACUCCUGACUGACCGAUAGUGAACCAGUACCGUGAGGGAAAGGCGAAAAGAACCCCGGCGAGGGGAGUGAAAAAGAACCUGAAACCGUGUACGUACAAGCAGUGGGAGCACCUUCGGGUGUGACUGCGUACCUUUUGUAUAAUGGGUCAGCGACUUAUAUUCUGUAGCAAGGUUAACCGUAUAGGGGAGCCGCAGGGAAACCGAGUCUUAACUGGGCGUUAAGUUGCAGGGUAUAGACCCGAAACCCGGUGAUCUAGCCAUGGGCAGGUUGAAGGUUGGGUAACACUAACUGGAGGACCGAACCGACUAAUGUUGAAAAAUUAGCGGAUGACUUGUGGCUGGGGGUGAAAGGCCAAUCAAACCGGGAGAUAGCUGGUUCUCCCCGAAAGCUAUUUAGGUAGCGCCUCGUGAACUCAUCUUCGGGGGUAGAGCACUGUUUCGGCUAGGGGGUCAUCCCGACUUACCAACCCGAUGCAAACUACGAAUACCGAAGAAUGUUAUCACGGGAGACACACGGCGGGUGCUAACGUCCGUCGUGAAGAGGGAAACAACCCAGACCGCCAGCUAAGGUCCCAAAGUCAUGGUUAAGUGGGAAACGAUGUGGGAAGGCACAGACAGCCAGGAUGUUGGCUUAGAAGCAGCCAUCAUUUAAAGAAAGCGUAAUAGCUCACUGGUCGAGUCGGCCUGCGCGGAAGAUGUAACGGGGCUAAACCAUGCACCGAAGCUGCGGCAGCGACACUAUGUGUUGUUGGGUAGGGGAGCGUUCUGUAAGCCUGCGAAGGUGACCUGUGAGGGUUGCUGGAGGUAUCAGAAGUGCGAAUGCUGACAUAAGUAACGAUAAAGCGGGUGAAAAGCCCGCUCGCCGGAAGACCAAGGGUUCCUGUCCAACGUUAAUCGGGGCAGGGUGAGUCGACCCCUAAGGCGAGGCCGAAAGGCGUAGUCGAUGGGAAACAGGUUAAUAUUCCUGUACUUGGUGUUACUGCGAAGGGGGGACGGAGAAGGCUAUGUUAGCCGGGCGACGGUUGUCCCGGUUUAAGCAUGUAGGCUGAUUGUCCAGGCAAAUCCGGAUAAUCAAGGCUGAGGUGUGAUGACGAGGCACUACGGUGCUGAAGUAACAAAUGCCCUGCUUCCAGGAAAAGCCUCUAAGCAUCAGGUAACAUUAAAUCGUACCCCAAACCGACACAGGUGGUCAGGUAGAGAAUACCAAGGCGCUUGAGAGAACUCGGGUGAAGGAACUAGGCAAAAUGGUGCCGUAACUUCGGGAGAAGGCACGCUGGUGUGUAGGUGAAGUCCCUGCGGAUGGAGCUGAGACCAGUCGAAGAUACCAGCUGGCUGCAACUGUUUAUUAAAAACACAGCACUGUGCAAACACGAAAGUGGACGUAUACGGUGUGACGCCUGCCCGGUGCCGGAAGGUUAAUUGAUGGGGUUAUCCGUAAGGAGAAGCUCUUGAUCGAAGCCCCGGUAAACGGCGGCCGUAACUAUAACGGUCCUAAGGUAGCGAAAUUCCUUGUCGGGUAAGUUCCGACCUGCACGAAUGGCGUAAUGAUGGCCAGGCUGUCUCCACCCGAGACUCAGUGAAAUUGAACUCGCUGUGAAGAUGCAGUGUACCCGCGGCAAGACGGAAAGACCCCGUGAACCUUUACUAUAGCUUGACACUGAACAUUGAGCCUUGAUGUGUAGGAUAGGUGGGAGGCUUUGAAGCGUGGACGCCAGUCUGCGUGGAGCCAACCUUGAAAUACCACCCUUUAAUGUUUGAUGUUCUAACGUUGGCCCCUGACCGGGGUUGCGGACAGUGUCUGGUGGGUAGUUUGACUGGGGCGGUCUCCUCCCAAAGCGUAACGGAGGAGCACGAAGGUUAGCUAAUCCUGGUCGGACAUCAGGAGGUUAGUGCAAUGGCAUAAGCUAGCUUGACUGCGAGCGUGACGGCGCGAGCAGGUGCGAAAGCAGGUCAUAGUGAUCCGGUGGUUCUGAAUGGAAGGGCCAUCGCUCAACGGAUAAAAGGUACUCCGGGGAUAACAGGCUGAUACCGCCCAAGAGUUCAUAUCGACGGCGGUGUUUGGCACCUCGAUGUCGGCUCAUCACAUCCUGGGGCUGAAGUAGGUCCCAAGGGUAUGGCUGUUCGCCAUUUAAAGUGGUACGCGAGCUGGGUUUAGAACGUCGUGAGACAGUUCGGUCCCUAUCUGCCGUGGGCGCUGGAGAAUUGAGGGGGGCUGCUCCUAGUACGAGAGGACCGGAGUGGACGCAUCACUGGUGUUCGGGUUGUCAUGCCAAUGGCACUGCCCGGUAGCUAAAUGCGGAAGAGAUAAGUGCUGAAAGCAUCUAAGCACGAAACUUGCCCCGAGAUGAGUUCUCCCUGAGACUUUAAGUCUCCUGAAGGAACGUUAAAGACGAUGACGUUGAUAGGCCGGGUGUGUAAGCGCAGCGAUGCGUUGAGCUAACCGGUACUAAUGAACCGUGAGGCUUAACCUUACAACGCCGAAG
rnacentral:rRNA from 2 species